rnacentral:rRNA from 1 species
GACGAACGCUGGCGGCGUGCUUAACACAUGCAAGUCGAACGGUGAAGCGCCUUCCUUUUUGGUGGGUGUGGAUGAGUGGCGAACGGGUGAGUAACACGUGAGUAACCUGCCCCCUUCUUCUGGAUAACCGCAUGAAAGUGUGGCUAAUACGGGAUAUUCUGGGUCUGUCGCAUGAUGGGUCUGGGAAAGAUAUUGUUUCGGUGGGGGAUAGGCUCGCGGCCUAUCAGCUUGUUGGUGGGGUGAUGGCCUACCAAGGCGGUGACGGGUAGCCGGCCUGAGAGGGUGGGCGGUCGGACUGGGACUGAGACACGGCCCAGACUCCUACGGGAGGCAGCAGUGGGGAAUAGUGAACAAUGGGCGCAAGCCUGAUGCAGCGACGCCGCGUGAGGGAUGGAGGCCUUCGGGUUGUGAACCUCUUUCGCCAGUGAAGCAGGCCUGCCUCGUUUGUGGGUGGGUUGACGGUAGCUGGAUAAGAAGCGCCGGCUAACUACGUG